UUAAAAAGUUAAUUGUUGAAUCAAUUUAAUUUGAAAUAAAAAGUUUAUUAAAUUUUAUAUUUUAAAUGUUUUAAAAAAAAUAAUUUAAAUUUUAUUAUUAUAAUAAGAAAUAAUUGGUUAUUAUUAUAGUUUAUUGUAUUGUGAAAGAAUAUUUUUAAUUGAUUAAAAGAAAAAUUUAUUUUUUGUACCUUGUGUAUCAGGGUUUAUUAAAAUUUUAUAAAAAUUUAUUAUUCUCGAAUUUAAAAGAGCUAAAAAGUUAUUAUUAUUAAUGUGAAAUAAUUAUAUUAAAUAAUUUUUUUGUAAUGAAAUGUUAUUCGUUUUUAAAUAUAUCUAGUUUUUUAAGAAAAAAAUUUAAUUUUGUUAUUAUUAAUAUAAUUUUAAAUUUUUAAUAUUAUAUUAAUAAUAGUUAAUAUUUUUAGGGAUUAGCUUAAAAAUAAAAUUUUAUUAAAAUAAUAAUUAUUAAUUUUUUAGGAUUAGAAAUUUUCAUAAAUAAAAGUAUGUCAUAAUUUAAUUUGAAUAUUUAUAAUUUAUAUUUUUUAUAAAUUUUUGUAUUAAAAUUUAUAUUUUAAUUUAAUAAAUUUAGAAAUAAUGAUAAAAUUAGUAUAAUUUUUUAUAUAAAUAAAAAUUAAUUUAAUGUUAAUAAAAGGAAUUCGGCAAAUAAAUUUUCACCUGUUUAGUAAAAACAUGUCUUUUUGGUAUUAAUUUAAGGUUUAACCUGCCCAAUGAAAACUUAAAUGGCCGCGGUAUUUUGACUGUGCUAAGGUAGCAUAAUCAUUAGUUUUUUAAUUGAAAGCUGGUAUGAAGGGUUGGAUGAAAAAUUAACUGUCUCUAAUUAAUUUUAUUAGAAUUUUAUUUUUAAGUUAAAAAGCUUAAAUAAAUUUAAAAGACGAGAAGACCCUAUAGAGUUUAAUAUAUUUAAUUUAUUAAUAUUUAGAAUUUAUUUUUUAUAAUUAAAAUAUAUUUAGUUGGGGUGAUUAAAAAAUUUAAUAAACUUUUUUUAUAAAUUUAUAUUUAUUAAUAAAUUAAUGAUCCAAAAAUUUUGAUUAUAAGAUAAAUUACCUUAGGGAUAACAGCGUAAUUUUAUUAAAGAGUUCUUAUCGAAAAUAAAGUUUGCGACCUCGAUGUUGGAUUAAAAUUUAUAUUUGGUGUAGAGGCUAAAUAAUUUAAGUCUGUUCGACUUUUGAAAUUUUACAUGAUCUGAGUUUAAACCGGUGUAAGCCAGGUUGGUUUCUAUCUUUAAAUAGGUAUAAUAUUUUAGUACGAAAGGACCAAAUAUU
rnacentral:rRNA from 1 species